rnacentral:rRNA from 1 species
UACGUAGGUGGCAAGCGUUGUCCGGAUUUACUGGGCGUAAAGAGCGUGUAGGCGGCCAAGCAGGUCCGUUGUGAAAACUGGAGGCUUAACCUCCAGACGUCGACGGAAACCGCGUGGCUAGAGUCCGGAAGAGGAGAGUGGAAUUCCUGGUGUAGCGGUGAAAUGCGCAGAUAUCAGGAGGAACACCAAUGGCGAAGGCAGCUCGCUGGGACGUGACUGACGCUGAGACGCGAAAGCGUGGGGAGCAAACAGG